rnacentral:rRNA from 1 species
AGCAGCUGCGGUAAUUCCAGCUCCAAUAGCGUAUAUUAAAGUUGUUGCAGUUAAAAAGCUCGUAGUUGAAUUUCGGGGUUAGUAGGUUGGUCGUGCCACUGGUAUGUACUGGUUCUACUGAUCCCUCCUUCUUGUAGAACCGUAAUGCCAUUCACUUGGUGUUGCGGGGAAACAGGACUGUUACUUUGAAAAAAUUAGAGUGUUUAAAGCAGGCUAACGCUUGAAUACAUUAGCAUGGAAUAAUGAAAUAGGACGUUCGAUCCUAUUUUGUUGGUUUCUAGGAUUGACGUAAUGAUUAAUAGGGAUAGUUGGGGGCAUUAGUAUUCAAUUGUCAGAGGUGAAAUUCUUGGAUUUAUUGAAGACUGACUACUGCGAAAGCAUUUGCCAAGGAUGUUUUCAUUAAUCAAGAACGAAAGUUAGGGGAUCGAAGACGAUCAGAUACCGUCGUAGUCUUAACCAUAAACCUAUAGCCGACUAGGGAUCGGAUGAUGUUAAUUUUUUAAUGUACUCAUUCGGCGUC